rnacentral:rRNA from 1 species
AUGGACAGGCAUGUUGGAGAGGGAGGUGGCCGGCGAGGAGGGGUUGGCCGGAGAAGAAAAAGUGGCCGGGGAGGACGGAAUGCCCGGGAGGCCCAGCGGAGGGGAGAGGGAGGUAGGUCCGGCGUGGACUCCCAUGUGGGUGGUCCGGGUGGAGGAGAGGAAGGUGGAGGUGAUGGCGGUGGAAGCAAAGGCGGGGACUUGUCUGGCGGCGAGCAACGCCAGAUGAACCCAUCCAGCAGCGAGGACGCUGCAGGCAAGCCCCAAGGCGGCGGAGGAGGAGUGGAGGGAAGCAAAGGCGGGGACUUGCCCGGCGGCGAGCAACGCCAGAUGAAUCCAUCCAGCAGCGAGGACGCUGCAGCCAAGCCCCAAGGCGGCGGAGGAGGAGUGGAGGGAAGCAAAGGCGGGGACUUGCCCGGCGGCGAGCAACGCCAGAUGAACCCAUCCAGCAGCGAGGAGGCUGCGGCCAAGCCCCAAGGCGGCGGAGGAGGAGUGGAGGGAGGCAAAGGCGGGGAUUUGCCCGGCGGCGGCGAGCAAUGCCAGACGAUCCCAUCCAGCAGCGAGGAGGCUGCUGGCAAGCCCCAAGGCGGUGGAAGAGGACUGGAUGGAAGCCAAGGCGGGAGCUUUACAGGCGGCGGCCAAAGCAUGAACUCGCCUGCAUCUCUCAAGGAAACCAUCCUUGGUUGGGACGUCGAUGACAUCCUGGCUGAUAAUCAAACGCUUCCAGAGGUACCAGAUUUCAGUGACUCUGUCGAAGAAUAUAUGAGUGCAUACUCUGCUCUUUUGGUUCAGGAAUGUAGGGCUGCUGUCAAGGAUGCAUUGCAGAACAUUCAUGAAUCAUCACUACCUUACAUUGUCAAACAUAUUUUACCCACAAAUUCAAAGUCAGAGAUUUUCCUUGACGUCGACCUCAACCUAGAUGCAAAGGGCAGUUGGCAUGUCGCAAGAGAGGGGGAUCUUUUUCUGUUUAGUACUUACUCUCCUCAGCAAGAAGAGUUUAAGUAUUCAUACAAACACAGAUCUUUUGGCAUUGCCUCUGAUAUCAGUCCGCACUCCAAAUUUCAUCGAGGCUUCAAAGCAGAUUCUACCAAAAAGUUGAAGAAUUUCAGAUAUGCAACAUUUUUGAUCAACCUGAAUGGUUUUCUCAGUGCUUGGAAAGCAAUGCAAGUGCAGGAAAAUGGAAAUAACUGUGCUGGAAUUCGAUCAAUUAUGAAAUUGCCAAAAUUGCCCAGCACUGAUGAUCCUUGCUGCCCUCAGUCAGUCUGUUUGAAUAACACGGUGUUCGGAAAUCUGAGUGGACAUCAACGAAUCAUUGCCAGUUCUGUUGCUCGAGCAUUCCAGUGCAAACACGGUAAUAUUGUAAAGCUUCUUUGGGGCCCUCCAGGGUCUGGAAAGACGCUGGUAAUCACCAAGGUUCUCCGCUAUUUGCAACAAUUGUCUAUGAGGAUUUUUAUAUGUGUUCCUUCAGAAGACCAUGUCCUUUCAUUGCUAAUGCUUCUUGAAGAAUCAGAAUAUAAAUUCAAUGAUCUCCUUGUUCUGGAUAACUUAGAGGGUAGAGAAAUCACCCAAAAAGUUCGUGAAACUUGCUUACAGGAUAGGUCACUGGAUUUUCUGUGUUGCAUCAAAAUGUAUGGACAAUUGGUUCAUGAAAUGAUUUUGCUUCUGAACUUGGAAAUGUUCUGUACUAAAAAAUGUGAUCAUAAAUCAGUGACUCGAUGUGGCAAAACCAGCCUUCCUGUCUUCAAAUUGCAGGCCUUUAAGAACAGCUUCAGUACUCUUGUUACUGGUAUGCGGCAAUGCUUGCUCGAGCUAAAAGGCAGAUUCUCAGGAAUGUGCUUGACAAAUGAAAAUGUGGAAAGCAUUGGGAAUUUGCUCGACACUUUGGAAGUUUUAGAUAACCUACUGAACCAUAAAAUAAAAGAUGAGAAGAGCGUGCAUCAAGCUUUUGGAUUGGUAACCUUGGCACCAUCUGCUGCUGGAUUUCAUGAGUACCCGUUUGCUGAAGAACUAAACAGUGCUAGAGUGGCAUGCUUAAGAGCAGUUGAAACUUUGAAACACUCAAUUACGCUUCCAAAGCAUUUUCGUGAGAGAAGAGAUAUUGAAAACUAUUGUAUUCAGAAAUGUCAAGUGAUUGUUAGUAGCACCUGUUCCAACAAUCGUUUGCUUCAGUUGGACACACACCAAAUCGAUCUGCUGAUAGUAGAUGGUGCUGCUAAUAUUAAAGAGUAUGAUUUGAUUGUUCCCUUGAGGCUUCCAAUCAGACAUGUUUGGAUGUCGGGCACUGCGAACAAGCAACCAACAACAAAUAAGGUGGCCCAGGAUGAUGGGUUCUCCAAUAAUCUUUUCCAAAGACUAUCUCAACUGGGGUUUCCAAUGGAUAGGCUCACGGAGCAAUUUCUAAUCAAUCCAGCGGUUUUCCAGUUCCCGAAUGAGUAUUUGUAUGAAGGAAAGAUUUUAGGUGCUCAAAAUGAUUGUUCUCCAAGCUACAGUAAAGAAUUCGAAAGCCUAAUUCUUCAAAAUUAUUUAUUCAUGGAUGUCGUCAAGACGGGUGCUAAUGCUGACAAUGACUUAACUGAGGAAAGCGCAAUUCUUUACAUCUUGCAGCAAGUGCUUUUCAAAUCUUGGAAAGGUGUUAACAGAAAGCUCAAUGUUGCUGUUGUGUGCCUACAUAGUAGCCGUGCUGAUGCAGUCAAAAGUCGCCUGAUAAACAAACAUGGCACUCAAGAGAAAAUUAAUUUACAUGUGAAGUGUGCAAGCAGUUUGCAGGGAGAAAUGUAUGAUGUCGUCAUUAUGUCAGCGCUUUCAACAGAUAACAAGAAGUUUGUUCAUGACCAGCAUAUCAUCUCAACAAUCACCCAAGCAAGAUAUUGCCUAUGGACACUGGUUUAUCUUCUUGACGCUCCUCGGCAUGAUGGAGUUUUCACAAAACUUCUUACUGACGCUACUGAGCGGGGGUGUUUUGUAAAAUUAUCACCUGUGGUCAGUGAUCAGUUGGACAAAAAAGUAUCUUUUGCUCAUCUGUUUGGCGGUAACCCUGCUCCCAGAAAGGUUACUAUUGAAUUCACUUGGAAUGGCAGGCCUCACAACAGCAAAUAUAUUUUAGCUGAUUUGCGAGAUCAGAAAAGUUCUGAUACUUGCACGCUUCAAUCUGCUUUGGCGGCGAUGGAGUCCACGAAAAAAUUCCAGUACUCAAAAUUUAAACCACCAAAAGAUUUUGAGUGGAUUUUAUCCGAUGCUCAUUUGAGGUUAGAAUACAAGGUUACCACUAAGAAAGACAUCGGAGAAGAAGUGGACAUGCCUCAAAGGGGCUGCAAACGCCUUGACACUGGUCUACACAUUCUCAAAGAGACUGGGGCCAUAGCACACAAACCUCAGCAGCCCGAGCAGGUGAGCCCACGCCGUUUCAAGCUUAAGUCGUAUUCAAGACUGGAGAUCAAUGAAAAUGGAGGCAUGAGUGUUGCUGCCCGUGCUGUAGUUGAUGGAACCUUCUUCUUGAUGCAUUUUAAAGUUUCGCGAAACUACUUCACAUUGAAGCCUGGACAGGUUUAUCACUUCGACGCCAACAAUGCAUACUUAAGCCCCUCAUUUUUGAUACCAGCAUCUCAUGCUGUGAUGAUGAUUGGGUCAGGGGAUACCCAUAUAUACACAGAAUUGCCGAGCGGAGACAUACAGCAUGAAAAAAGUGUCCAUGUGAACUUUCAGAACAGCGCUGGAAAGCUGCUCGGUGAUGACGGUUUUGGUAAAAUUGGGUCGAGCUCUGUGCGGGGUCUAUACCAGCUCACAAUCUGA